UACGAAGGGGGCUAGCGUUGUUCGGAAUCACUGGGCGUAAAGCGCACGUAGGCGGACUUCUAAGUCAGGGGUGAAAUCCCAGGGCUCAACCCUGGAACUGCCCUUGAUACUGGAAGUCUCGAGUCCGGGAGAGGUGAGUGGAACUCCGAGUGUAGAGGUGAAAUUCGUAGAUAUUCGGAAGAACACCAGUGGCGAAGGCGGCUCACUGGCCCGGUACUGACGCUGAGGUGCGAAAGCGUGGGAGCAAACAGG
rnacentral:rRNA from 1 species